rnacentral:rRNA from 1 species
AGUGAACGCUGGCGGCAUGCCUAACACAUGCAAGUCGAACGGCAACACACUAAGAGCUUGUGCUUACGGGUGGCCGGGGGCGGAAGGGAGCGGAAUACACCCGGACCUACUUUUUAGUUGGGGGUAACGGUAGGAAACAUACCCUAAUACCGCAUACGGCCUACGGGGGAAAGUAGGGGAUCUUCGGACCUUUGGGGACUGAAUGAGCCGAUGUCGGAUUAGGUAGUUGGCGGGGUAAAGGCCCACCAAGGCGACGAUCCGUAGCUGGUCUGAGAGGAUGAUCAGCCACACUGGAACUGAGACACGGUCCAGACUCCUACGGGAGGCAGCAGUGGGGAAUAUUGGACAAUGGGCGCAAGCCUGAUCCAGCCAUACCGCGUGGGUGAAGAAGGCCUUCGGGUUGUAAAGCCCUUUUGUUGGGAAAGAAAAGCAGCAGGUUAAUACCCCGCUGUUCUGACGGUACCCAAAGAAUAAGCACCGGCUAACUUCGUG